rfam:Populus trichocarpa isolate Nisqually-1 chromosome 17, whole genome shotgun sequence.
GGGUGCGAUUAUACCAGCACUAAUGCACUGGAUCCCAUCAGAACUCCGCAGUUAAACGUGCUUGGGCGAGAGUAGUAAGAAGAUGGGUGACCUCCUGGGAAGUCCUCGUGUUGCACCCC